UGGGGAAUUUUGGACAAUGGGCGCAAGCCUGAUCCAGCCAUGCCGCGUGCAGGAUGAAGGCCUUCGGGUUGUAAACUGCUUUUGUACGGAACGAAAAGACUCCUUCUAAUAAAGGGGGUCCAUGACGGUACCGUAAGAAUAAGCACCGGCUAACUACGUGCCAGCAGCCGCGGUAAUACGUAGGGUGCAAGCGUUAAUCGGAAUUACUGGGCGUAAAGCGUACUCAGGCGGUUAUGCAAGACAGAGGUGAAAUCCCCGGGCUCAACCUGGGAACUGCCUUGGUGACUGCAUAGCUAGAGUACGGUAGAGGGGGAUGGAAUUCCGCGUGUAGCAGAGAAAUGCGUAGAUAUGCGGAGGAACACCGAUGGCGAAGGCAAUCCCCUGGACCUGUACUGAUGCUCAUGCACGAAAGCGUGGGGAGCAAACA
rnacentral:rRNA from 1 species